rnacentral:rRNA from 1 species
AUGCAGUCGAGCGGUAGAGAGGUGCUUGCACCUCUUGAGAGCGGCGGACGGGUGAGUAAAGCCUAGGAAUCUGCCUGGUAGUGGGGGAUGGCGCUCGCAGACUGACGCUUGUACCGCGUACGUCCUACGGGAGAAAGCCGGGGACCUUCGGGCCUUGCGCUCUCGGAUGAGCCUAGGUCGGAUUAACUAGUUGGUGAGGUAAUGGCUCACCCAGGCGACUAUCCGUAACUGGUCUGAGAGGAUGAUCAGUCACACUGGAACUGAGACACGGUCCAGACUCCUACGGGAGGCAGCAGUGGGGAAUAUUGGACAAUGGGCGAACGCCUGAUCCUGCCAUGCCGCGUGUGUGAAGAAGGUCUUCGGAUUGUAAAGCACUUUCAGUUGGGAGGAAGGGCAUUAACCUAAUACGUUGAGUGUUUUGA